AUUGAACGCUGGCGGCAGGCUUAACACAUGCAAGUCGAGCGGAGAGAGGUAGCUUGCUACUGAUCUUAGCGGCGGACGGGUGAGUGAUGCUUAGGAAUCUGCCUAUUAGUGGGGGACAACAUUUCGAAAGGAAUGCUAAUACCGCAUACGUCCUACGGGAGAAAGCAGGGGAUCUUCGGACCUUGCGCUAAUAGAUGAGCCUAAGUCGGAUUAGCUAGUUGGUGGGGUAAAGGCCUACCAAGGCGACGAUCUGUAGCGGGUCUGAGAGGAUGAUCCGCCACACUGGGACUGAGACACGGCCCAGACUCCUAUGGGAGGCAGCAGUGGGGAAUAUUGGACAAUGGGCGGAAGCCUGAUCCAGCCAUGCCGCGUGUGUGAAGAAGGCCUUAUGGUUGUAAAGCACUUUAAGCGAGGAGGAGGCUACUUUAGUUAAUACCUAGAGAUAGUGGACGUUACUCGCAGAAUAAGCACCGGCUAACUCUGUGCCAGCCGCCGCCGUAAAAC
rnacentral:rRNA from 1 species